rnacentral:lncRNA from 1 species
GUUUUUUUUCCUCCAGUACCCAAUUCCUGCCAGCCCAUGUUCCCUCAUUAUGAGUUAUCUGCAGCUUCAGGACAUUUGACUGGGGAUGUUUCCUUCUACUGCUCCUAAAGAAGGUCCUUACGUCAUUGAUAUGCCUAUCCCUGAUGUUGUACACAUGCAGAAGAUAACUUCAGUUACAGCUAUAACACUUGUGAAAAAAAGCCUUGAACUCUGGGAAAUUCAGACCUGGAUCCAGACUUUGCAGCUGGACUCCAUUCCUGCCUUAAAUAUAAAGUAAAAUCGAAGUGCAUUGUGACUGCACACAUUGUUUACAGGAAACAUUCAAUUCAGCAUACUUUGACAGCUCCUGUCAUUGUUACCGGGCGCAGGAGCUGGGGAAAGGGAUUCAACCUGAACCCACAACUGGAUGAGCUCUGAAGACAAUCUCCUACAUAUUUUAGAGGCCUUGGCAAAU